UCAGUCGGCCGGACGGCCGCUCCCGCUGCGGCCGAAAGGCUGCGGGAGAGGAAAGUCCGGGCUCCAUCGACAUACGGUGCCGGAUAACGUCCGGCGGGGGCGACCCCAGGGACAGUGCCACAGAGAACGAACCGCCUCCUCCCCGGAGCAGGUAAGGGUGAAAAGGUGCGGUAAGAGCGCACCGCGUCUCCGGCAACGGAGACGGCAUGGCAAACCACACCGGGAGCAAAACCGAAUAGGGGCGGCAUCGCGAGAGGUUCGCCUUCGGCGAUAACAUCGCAGGGCCAUGUCGGGCCCGCUGUCCGGGUAGGUUGCAUGAGGCAACGUGCAAACGUUGCCCCAGAGGAAUGGCCGUCACGUAUCGCGUGCGCAAGCGCGCGGUGCCCUACAGAACCCGGCUUACAGGCCGGCUGAUAUG
rfam:Nitrobacter hamburgensis X14, complete genome.